rnacentral:rRNA from 1 species
AAACUGGGAUUAGAUACCCCACUAUGCUUAGCCCUAAACAUAAAUAUUCAAUCAACAAGACUAUUCGCCAGAGUACUACUAGCUACAGCUUAAAACUCAAAGGACUUGGCGGUGCUUUAUAUCCCUCUAGAGGAGCCUGUUCUAUAAUCGAUAAACCCCGCUAUACCUUACCACCUUUUGCAUAUCAGCCUAUAUACCGCCAUCUUCAGCAAACCUUAAUAAGGUUUCAUAGUAAGCGCAAUAAUACACAUAAAAACGUUAGGUCAAGGUGUAGCCUAUAAGGUGGAAAGCAAUGGGCUACAUUUUUUAUCUUAGAAUAAUAACGUUAACUUUCAUGAAACUGAAGAGUCUAAGGCGGAUUUAGUAGUAAGCCAAGAAUAGAGAGCCUGGCUGAAUUGGGCAAUAAACCA